GUUCAGCUUGAUCAGUAAGCUCCAUGCCUUUCGGAGUUUCCAGGGAUAGGUGAGGCACUAGGUGCCGGUCUCGCCCCCAGGUACGGGGCCUGACAAAAUGAAACUGCUCGAUUUGUGAAGGACAUGCUUUCUCAGAUCAAGCAUUUGAGGACAGAAAAUACAACUUUGCUGUCUAAAUCUCAAUAUCUGUAGACGUGUGGGAGUAUUGUUGCUGCGUUGCGAUUUUGCUGUGCUGUUUCUGUUGAUCUCCAUCCUUCAUUCUUGCUUUCAUUUGGUUUCUUUUUGGAGUACUGUUGCCCAAGCAUUUAGGUACAUACCUCUAUAAACUUGUAGGAUUUUUAUUUUAAUCCAUCUUCUUUAUUCUUCUAUGAAAUUCAGAUGUGUCUAUGUGUGGUUCAUGAUGUAUGUUUUGUGAACUGCCCUCUCAAAGGUGCGGACGAUUUGAAUAGUGGGCUUUAACUUUGUCAACUUAAUUGUCGCUCAUAAAUGGUUUUCCAAUUUAGAUCUGCCCUUGUAACCUGAACUCUCAUUCUUAUAUUUUGUAACAUCAUCAGCCGAUACUUCUCUAUU